rnacentral:piRNA from 1 species
UUCACAACAUUUUUGUUUUGAGACAAGACC